UUUUAAUUUAUGUUAUUUUAUCCAAAAUGGAUUAUAGAAUGCAAACUGUUUUAGUUCCAAGAUGAUUACUGAUGACACUCGCUGAUUUAAGCAUGCAACUUGAGAUCAUGUGACAGAUGAAGUCAGGUCAUAUGACUGUGUUUGUAGCAUGCUGCUCUCUAAAACAGCUCGUUAGCAGGCUAAAGCAAGAUGCUGAUGGAUUUGUAGCAAAGAACAGCAACAAGUAAACAGAAAGGAUGAAGAUCUGCAACAAACGAUGCAGAGAAUGAGGACAACUGAUCAGAUGACACAAACGCAUGCAGAGGGGAACAGGAGCACCAGGAAAAGCUUUUCUCAGCAUCUCCAGCUGGUUUUCAUGUUCCCAAACCUACAGCAGACCGGAUAAACUGACAGCGCUACUGUGAGUUAGACACUUAGGAACAUCAGCGGACAAUCCAAGCUGGAGUUUGCGUGAGGAAAUGUCAGAGUUAAGCCAUAUUGCAUGUGAAUGUGAACACACCCAGCAAUGCAAGCUUUAUUUUGAACAUCAUUGGAUUCUAAAAUGUGUCAGAAUGCAAUGCAUAGAACAGUGCGUUUGUUUUAAACACACUUUGAAAUGUUAUUUAUCAAACACCUGGAUAUUAAUCACCAAACAUGUUAUAAUUUGCUGGAAUUUUAUUGCUUAAUACAGUGCUUU
ensembl:lncRNA